rnacentral:lncRNA from 1 species
GGAGGUGACUCUCUCAGGAGGUUGAAUAGGGUUAGAAAGACGGCAUGACUAUAUCUCUAAUGUAGACCUAAAGUGCUUCCUAGAGCUAGGGACCAGGAUUCUAAAUGAGACCUGAGGGAAUGGAGCUGUUGUUGACAAGAGCUGUUAGACAAACAGGACAUGGAGGAGGAGUGGUCAUGCAUACCUCAAUGGGACAAAGUAUCUCCUCUGAGACUUCAGAAAAUCCUUUUCUUCUGGAGCCACUCUGUUCUGGAUUACCCUGAGAUUUUAAUGAGAUAAAGUCUAGAGAUGUAUAUAACUUUUCUGCAUCAUUUUGGAAUUUUAAUGAGAUGAAACGAGACCCAGAGACACCUGUUCUAGACCACUUUGGGAUCUUAAUGAGGAUGCAAACAGGUUGAAGACAAGAGCUCUCUUUAAUGGAACCUGAACAGUGCCUAACUCCUGUAGAUAUUCACUGAAUGUUAAAUAACAACAGUGAUCAUGUAAUAAUGAUGCCCAAUUCACUUGGGAGAGAAUACCAAAUAGCUUGGAAUUUUCCUGUUACUGCCAGCAUGGCCUGAGAGCAUCCUGAGAGAGGUCAAAAGUCCGUCUGACUCACCUGUGCUGAGUGACUUGAAUGCCAUCUAAUCUAACUUCAAGGUGAGGACAGUCUGUUCUGAAGGUCUACACAUUAAUGCUUCCUAUUGGGAAUUCAAAUCGGCAAUUUGUUCUUCUUCUGGUUGUUUGAAUCUUCAAAAUAGAGGGAAGACACCUGGAUGAAACAUUUUCACAGACUCUGCAAUUCCCUUAAGAGGAUCCCAGAGCCCUUAAGCUUCUCUUAGAUUCCUCUGAUUUUUUUCAGCCCAAGGACUGUUACCACAUGUCUUCCAUCUUGCCCACAAUUUUAGCAGAUCAUCAGGAUACUUGCCAACAAGGUCACAGUGGACUCCAUGGAGCAACUGCCCUCAGGAGGCAACAGGUCACAGUGUUUGGACACCGCAUGAACAUGCCAAUUUCCUGUGUUGUAAUAUUUUUAUGCACUUUAAGAAGACCACCAGAAACAGCAGAGUGAGUGAAUGACUGAGGCGCAUAUUGGACAAAAAUCACUUAUCCAAGACCACGUUACUACAACCCCAGGGCACAGAAGCUAAGUCUUCCUAUUGUACUGAACUCAGUUGACUGGAAUUUGUUCAGGAAAGCAUGAAGUCAAAUGGAAGCUAGUCCGUGACUGGAUUCAUCUUUUGGUAAAAAACGAAGAGGAGACCCCAUAUCCUGGAGGUUCUUGCUUAACCCUGUCCCUAAUAAGACCUAACUUUAUGAGUCUUCUCCUUAGAGGCAGUCCUAGGGUAAGAGUGAUUAUUCCUGUGAGCCUUGUAGGUACUUUCGAAUCAAGGAAAUUAGUAGUUGAUUGCUAAUUAAUUCAGUAUUUAAUGAAUUUAAGUACCUAGGCAAUGAGGCCACAAUAGCAAAUAAGACACAGACCUGUUUUCAAAAAGUAGCCUGUAAAUAAGAUAUUUUUUUCUGCCAUGGUGGCAAAGGCAUGACUAUGGUGAUGAACAUUCAUAGGCUCACCUUCUAGCUCUGUUGUAUGUUAACUGUGUGAACUUGGGUCAAGUUAUGAAAACUCUAAGAACUCUCAAAACUCCUGAUCUGUUUUAACAUGAAAGUAAAGAUAUCUAAUUGAAUUGUUGUGAAACUUAAAUGUAAUGUGACAUCCAAAGAAUGUAGCCCAAAGUUGGAUUUCAGUAAGUGAUAAAUAGAAGUAUUUAAACAUGGGUAUGGUAUGUUCUGUAACAGAAGAAUGUCUAUGUGCUGGGGAUACCUAGAGACAGUGAAAAUUCUGUCUGGCCUGCGAAUUAU